AAUAAAAACUCAUAAAUUUAAUAAAAUUUACUGUCAAAUAAUUUUAAAAAAUUAUCUUAAAAACAAUUUAACUGUUUCAUCUCCUUUUGCUUUUAUGCGACUGCAAUAAUUAAUUCUGGGUUUACAUUUCGCUUUCUAUACACUAUUUGUGACUCAAUUUAGAUCAUCAUUUUAUCGUUGAGUAACCUAAAGAUUAUAAUGCAUUCAACCUUGUUGAACUUCAUUGUAAGAAGCCAACAUAAAGUAGUGGCGGUGCACGAGCAAUAUUUGUGCCGACAAGUAUUGUUCGGCUCGUUGCCCCGGCUACGAAUAGCCUCUCAUUGUCCGCGGUGGAUUUUCAUCCGAACAAUGAAGACGUCAGUCAUAGUUUUCUUAUCGGCGUUAGAUUCGUCCGCAAUCGCGCACGGACCUCCCUAAAACAAUACGACGGAAAAAUCGCUACUGGUAUCAUUAGAAAGCAGAACGCUGCGCACCAAGUCAUAACAAAAAGAAAGGUAAAAAAAUUUUAUAUUAUUACAUUUAGUCAAGACGAGAGUUCAAGAGCAUUUUGGUUUAAAGAGGAAGUUCAUCAAUAUUAGCGUAUCACUUUGUCUUUAGAUAAUAUUUCUUAAACAAAAGCUAAAAAUAAAACUUUGAAAUAUAAAUUACAAAUGUAAACUAGAAAGUGUCUAUCAAAUGUAUAGCAGUUUUUAUAAAACUGUUUUAUAUUUUGUAAUAAUUAAUGUUUUUCGCAACAUAAACAAAAUUAAAAAUGUGAGAAAUUGGAUUCUAAAAUUAAUAUAGAUGGCUACAUUUUCCUUUUUCUUUCUUUAACAUGAACAAUUUAGCACAGAACAUUUACAAGUUUAUGUAUAUGAGAAUUUCUAAAAGCCUUUCACUUCGAUGUAAAACUUUUUGUCGAUUAUACAAAUACCUUGUGCUGUUCUGUAAGAUGCACAUGUAACGCGAUUAUAUGAUAUACAAUAUAAAGAUUAGAUUAGAUUUCAUAUAGAAAAAAGCUAUAAAAUAUAAACGUAUAAACUUCAUUUCUUCUUUUUUUUUAUUUCUUCAAUUAUUAAAGAUGUGUUUUAUCAGCAUUAAUAGUGUAAUAUUAAGUUGCCAAGAAAUAACGGAGAGCCGUCUUUUUAAAAGAGAAUUUAUACCAAUAUUGGUGAAAUAUUCCAAUAUUACCUUUCUUUAUAGAAAUAUUAUUUAAAGUCAAGUCAAUAAUGUUUUCAAAUUAAAUUAAUUUUAAACGUGUCGUAUUGAAUUUUAAGAUCGAGAAGAUAAAUAUGAGAAUAUAUGUGCCGAUUGUUCUAAAAUUCUUUAGAUGUUUUGAAAACUGUUGUGCUUGUUACUUUUGUAAAAAAAAAAAAAAAAAGGAUUUAAUAAAAGAAUUUUCUUAUUUUAUAAUUUAUAUAUAUUUUAUAGGAAUUAGCAUUCUCUUUCUUUUGCUUAUAAUUUUUGGAUCAUUCUACCAAAUAAGAAGAGGUUAGAAGUUAAGAAAAUUUACUUAUUGAAAAUGAUCACUCUCAACUUGAAGUUUGACUUUUUAACAUUAUAGAUUCGCAGAAUAAGAUUUCUUGUCGCGUAAUGCAUAAUGCAGUUUACAUAAUAAUCGAGAAUCUUUUUCUCGGUACGCCAUUAGAGGAAGUGCCACCGCUGAUAAAGGGGAAAAUGGGAUUACGAGGAAAAGAGAGCGAUAUCGUGUCGCCAGGAAAGAGCUCGAGUCGCGUGAACGGGCGCGAUCGUCGCAUGAUGAUUAAUUUCCGGUCUGGCGGCAUCAAAUCCGCGAGAGAAAGUGAUUUACAUUUUAGACGUGUAUGUACUACACACAGUCUUAUAUAAUCGGAACGUUCGGCGAAUUUAGAGGUAGGGAUUCUUUUUCACGGGAAUCCUCAGGGCAUUCAUAAUCAGGGUUUAAAGUGAUCAGAUUCGUUGAGGCGGUACGUUUCUGACGCUCUCCCGGCAUCGCUCCCGUGGUAGUAUCCCAGAUUUAACUCUACUUUUCCAUCGUCUCAAUUCCACCAAUUUCCCGACGAUAAUUUCCCAUCGGAACCCGCCCGAUCGAUUGAUUCUACUUUCGGAUCGCGACUUCGGGUUCGCUGACCGUCCUCGAGUAUCCAUUCGAUUUGGGGAUUCAGUAGAAGGAGGAGGAGGAGAAGAAGAAGAAGAAGAAGAAGAGAAAGCUGUGAAGGAUACAAAGGAAAAUUGGGAGGAAAAGGAGGUGAAAAAAGUCGCGCGUAGCCAGUCGGUUGACACCGGCAGGGGGGAGGGGGGUUGAAAACGAGAAGGAAACGAGACGAAACGAUGUUUCUAGCUAACGGACGCGCUUAGCCCACCGUGAAGAGACGAGACAGAAUGGGGUAGAGUGGGGAAGAAAACGAGGAGAAAGGGAAAGAAGAAGCUCCGGCUGUCUGCAUUCGUCGACGGUGGAAGUAACGAGAGAAGUAACUUUCCCGAGAAAGUUUAGGCCAGUCGAUACUGAUGCGUCAAGCGAGCUACGAUAAUCCGCCACGAUAAUCCAGGAUCUAACGGCGGAAGAACUCGUUCUCUAUAGAUCGGUCAAGUUGGGAUCAAGCCUUGUGAGUCGUAACGAAGAUAAAUAAUCCUGAGGAUCAAGGGUGGCGUGCGAAAUCAAGGACGGAAAUGAUGAGCUGUAAAAUAGAUUCGGCGCUGUGUGUGUGUGUGUUUGAUGCACGAAUUAUUAUGAGAUAUAAUUAGCGAGUACUGUUAGCACAUUGGACGUGAAUUCGCUUAACACCGUAUACCGUUCGGCACGUGCGGAGUAAAUUCAUCAUGUGAAUUAUGUAAACCGUUAAACGAGUCUUCUGAAACGUUCGGCGAGAACAAUCGUGGCAAUUACGGGGAAUACAAGAGGCGAAUUAAGGACGAAAAGUAGACGAUUAGGGAAAGUUAAUAAUUAAGGUUACUGCCUUUUAGUACAGCACGGCAUUCUCGUUAAUUCCCAUAAUCGAUAAUACGCUCAUCUUGAAUUAUAAUCGUCUGUGUUAAACGGUUAACGAUGUUAUGAAACGAGCAGUUAAUUGAAUGUUUCUCUUUUAUAAAAUAAAUUCAUUGUAUAAACUUAUAGUUUUAAUAUUUUAUUAUUUGUUAUAUAACAUUAGUCAAAGAGCAUACCAUCUCUUUUAGAAAAAUGAACUAAAGAUAGAAGAUUACCAAUACCAGUUAGCACAGUUUGGUUUUAAAUAAUAUUUCUUAAAUAAUAGCUAAAAAUAAAACUUAAGGAGACUCGAUACGUUUACAAAAUAUCUCAAAGGGUCCUAAUACUUGCACACAUUGGUGUCGGUGCUAAAAUACGCAUGUUACAUGAAAUUUCAGACUACAUUGCCGAUUAAUUAUUGGAAUGCAAUCAAUUGUAGAGCUAAUUAACAUUGCUCUUAUGGAAGUCGUAAUAUUUCUCACCGAAAGUAGUGUAUUUUCUCGCUGAAAACAUUUGCGUAACCAAAUUUUGAGAGUAGUUAAGAAUCAAUUUUUUCAUUCAUGACAAGAAUAAUGUUAAUAUCCGACCAUUUUCUAAAAGUAUUUAUCAUUAAAAUGUCAAGUAGGUGGAUUAUGUUAGAUGUGAAAUCGCGGAGAUCGGGCGCGCAUAAUUCAAAUCUUACGUAAAACCUCCUUGUCAAUUUUUCUUCUUUUUGCCCUUGCUUCCAAGCAAUGUUUCAUCUGAGCAACCACUUUUGCUUUGACAAAUUGACCUUUCUUUUUCCCUCGAGUCUGUAUGAUGUUAAGGUAUGACAUUUUGACAGAAAGAAUUUUCGUCUAACCAUACGUUAGAAAAGCGAUACGCGUGUGCAUGACUUAGCGUCUAAAAUGAUCUACUCGGUUCAUCAUUUUGACGUAUUUACAUUGCAUUUGUAAAUAAAUAAAAAUAUUCAACAUUCUUAUCGUUAAAAUAAAAGUUAAAAUUAACUUUUUUAUUUUUGUUCAAAUUCAUACGGAAUUAAGAACAUUUUAAUGUAAUACUUUUUAUUGACUAAAGAUGUAGAUCGAACCUCCUUAAAAAUAAAAAUGUUAAUUAAAAAGUGUUUCUUAUCAAAUGAUA